UCCGAUGAUGGAUUAAAUCUUCGAGACCUGAUCAUGGAAUUGAUGAUAACUAUAAGCAUGGUUUCUGAGGAU